rnacentral:lncRNA from 1 species
UUUAUAGACUAAGGGCUCCUCCCCUUUUACAUAAAUCAUGGGCUCAAUGUCUGGAAGCCCAAGUAACGAGGCCCAAUAUAAUAUGGUACCAACAUCACACAAUCAGGUUCUUCCAAAAUAACGGUUUUUAUCUCGAUAUUUUUGUAGCCGUGAUAACAUGACAUUCACCAUAAUGCAUGACCCAACUUUACAUUUUUCGAAUUUUAGAUUCUACAUAAAUUGUGUAUGCAUUAUAUCCAUAAUUGUUGAAUUAUAUGAAUUGAUAUUGCCAUGAAUUGUAUCAAAUACAUGUCCAUGCACUAAAUUAUAUGUUGAAUAUGCAUGCAAUUAUAAUAAAUUACAAUCUGGAAAUUAAAAUUAAAAAUAAUUUUCUAGGGUUUUUUCGAACCCAGAUGGCAGUAG